AUGCCUACUGAUGGUCAAGUUAGCACUGACGAAAAUGGUAAGAUUUCGAUCAAAAGGUAUAUCGCUCCAUCAUUGGUUUGUUUCUUUGCCUAUGUGCAUCUCUAUUUCCUUGAAAAGGGUGCUCAACCAACAAGAACUGUUUAUGAUAUUUUAAGGAAGGCGGAAUUCUUUAAAGAAAAAGACAGAACUUUGAGUUAA
rnacentral:rRNA from 1 species